rnacentral:lncRNA from 1 species
CAAUGUACAGAGCUGGGAUUCAUAAUGCAGUUCUCAAUGUGAAAUCCUUAUUUCGUGGAUUCCACACCCUACUGAAGUUACCGCGAUGAGCAAAAAUCACGAAAUCUUAUUAUCUGUGGGCUCGUGUCUUUCUGUACCUAUUGUAAUUGCCAUGUGUCAGAGGUUUGAACUUACUGAUGAUGCAGACUUAUUUCAUGGAUUCCACACCCUACUGAAAUUACCGCUAUGAGCAAAAAUCAUGAAAUCUUAUUAUCUGUGGGCUCGUGUCUUUCUGUACCUAUUGUAAUUGCCAUGUGUCAGAGGUUUGAACUUACUGAUGAUGCAGAUAUGGAAUAUCUAUUGGGUUGCUAUAAGGAAAUUAUCUCUGAGCUACUCUCUGUUAAAAGAUUUGAUACCUUCCACCAGAGCUUA